rnacentral:rRNA from 2 species
GGACUACUGGGGUAUCUAAUCCUGUUUGCUCCCCACGCUUUCGUGCAUGAGCGUCAGUGUUGGCCCAGAAGGCUGCCUUCGCCAUUGGUGUUCCUCCACAUCUCUACGCAUUUCACCGCUACACGUGGAAUUCCACCUUCCUCUGCCACACUCCAGCCACGUAGUUUCGAGCGCAAUUCCCAAGUUAAGCCCGGGGCUUUCACACUCGACUUGCGCGGCCGCCUGCGCACACUUUACGCCCAGUAAUUCCGAUUAACGCUCGCACCCUACGUAUUACCGCGGCUGCUGGCAC